rnacentral:rRNA from 1 species
UACGGGGGGGCAAGCGUUGUUCGGAAUUACUGGGCGUAAAGGGUUUGUAGGUGGCCCGCUAAGUCACACGUGAAAUCCCUCAGCUUAACUGGGGAACUGCGUGUGAGACUGGCAGGCUCGAGGGCAGGAGAGGAACGCGGAAUUCCAGGUGUAGCGGUGAAAUGCGUAGAUAUCUGGAGGAACACCGGUGGCGAAGGCGGCGUUCUGGACUGUCUCUGACACUGAAGAACGAAAGGACCAAGGGGAGCAAACGGG